UGGCAAUUGAAGUAAUGCUGAAGGCAGGUUCAUGUAGCUUUAUAAUUUUCAUUUUCGAUAUUGUUGAAUUUACCUUUUCUCCUCCUUGUGUUUUGAUUCAUGACCUGCAUAAAUUAUUCUUGCAUAGAUGAUAACACAUCAUAUGCCCUGUACCAUGGAUAUUUCCUUAUUUUCUUCACAAAAUCAAUUAGUAUGUCUUGUUUAUUAUAUUGAAGCAUAAUGGCGAAUGUUUUCAGUCACCUUUAUGUUGUAUGUUUA
rnacentral:misc_RNA from 1 species